rnacentral:rRNA from 1 species
UAAGGAAUAUUGCUCAAUGGGAGAAAUCCUGAAGCAGCAACGCCGCGUGGAGGAUGAAGGGUCUAUGACUUGUAAACUCCUGUAAAGAAGGAAAAAAUUCCCAUUUGAUGGGAGAUGAUGGUACUUCUGGAGUAAGCCCCGGCUAACUACGUGCCAGCAGCCGCGGUAAUACGUAGGGGGCAAGCGUUGUCCAGAUUUACUGGGUGUAAAGGGUGCUCAGGCGGAUUUGUAAGUCAGAGGUGAAAUCUUACAGCUUAACUGUGAAACUGCCUCUGAUACUGCAAGCCUAGAGUAUGGAAGAGAGUGAUGGAAUAUCUGGUGUAGCAGUGAAAUGCGUAGAUAUCAGAUACAACACCAAUGGCGAAGGCAGUCACUUGGUCCAUUACUGACGCUAAAGCACGAAAGCGUGGGUAGCAAACA